CUUUUGUAAUUUUUACCUCUCACUUCUUUUUUUUUCUUCUUUGUUUUAAUCAUUAUGUAACUUUCAGAUAAAACUGUUGUACACGAGUGGGCACAUCUACGAUGGGGUGUUUUCGAUGAAUACUCAACCACUACACCAUUUUUUGUUAUGGAAGGUAAUAAGAUAGAAGAAACACGAUGUUCUCAAUCAGUUGCUGGUGUUUAUGAAGACAAUACCUCAAAAGAUAAAAAAUGCACAUUAGACCCCGGAACUGGAGUUUACACCAAGAGUUGUAAGUUCAUCCCUGACGAAAAGCAGACAGCAAAUGUUUCGAUUAUGUACAAACAAUAUUUGCCGUCGAUAAGCUUCUUUUGUAGAGAAGAUAAAAUUGACCCUAACAAUAGACAUUUUGAAGAGGCCCCAAACAGACAAAAUACCAUUUGUGAAACUAAAAGUGGGAAGUAAUGCUUGAAACAGAUGACUUCAUAGGCGGUAAAAAUCCACCACUGAAAGAGGGAAGCGUGGAUACAACGCCGAAAUUUCGAAUUGUUCAGUCUACAACGCGACGCGUUGUCUUGGUUCUUGAUACCUCAGAAAGCAUGAUGGGUGUUCCCUUAAAGAAACUUCGUCAAGGAACUAUGCGGUACCUCAGCUCUACCAUUGACACUGGAAGUUAUGUUGGCAUUGUCGAGUUUUCCACGUUUGGCACAGAGCUUGCUCCACUCACACUUGUGUCUGAU